GAAUGCCUUAGUGCGCUCCCAGAGGGUCUCCCGACCCGAAAGAGAAAGCCGUCUUGAGAGGCUACGGGGGAAUCUCAAUAUUGCCUGACGCUUACGAAUCAGCAGAGGGAGAGCUCCUGAGAAAGUCAAAUCCGGAAAGUCACCGGAGUUCUUAGGGAAGAACCUGCCUAGAAAAAGAAAACGGGAAGACCUUGAUGAUUUUGCCGCAACAAGAACAAACAAGGAAAAUUGGAGGUAGCAGUGGUCUCCCAUUUGACCCUCGGAGGCAAGAAGCAAUAUGAUUAGAAGAGGCUCCUGCAAAGGGGAGAUAAAAGCGAUCGCGCUGAGGAAGACAGCCUGGAAGAGCUCAGGGGAGAAGGCUGCUGUCCUGGAAGCUGAUAGUCCCAUUCAGGAAGAGUGCCGGCAGUUCGUCAGUCAGACAGCUGGUAGCGACUAGACCUUGUGGGAUUUCAGCUUCAGACAAAGCAAACAAGGAUCGCGGAGUGUUGAGAAGCUAUCUGGAGCUGUAUACAAGGACGAUCGUAGCUGCUGGCUUCUAAUUACCUGGCUCUUUGCUGUCAUUAAACUAUCAUUACACAUCCAAA